CGCUGUCAUGCGUCUUCCCGCGAGAUCUCGCAAUGGUGCUGAAACGGAAAGCAGAUAGCGUCCAUUCAUAAAAUUCCAGGUGGGCUCGCUGCCCCACCCAGCUAUCUUCUCCAGCAGAUGGCUGUAUCCCUUUAAGCAUUGGACUGAAG